GGGGGCGUAUGAGUUCCGGUGGACUUCGCGGACUUCAAAUCCGUUGGGGGGCCCAGAAGGUCUUCGGUGGGUUCGACUCCCAUACGCUCCCGCCA
rnacentral:tRNA from 1 species